rnacentral:lncRNA from 1 species
GUGAGGAGAAACCGGCGCCCGCCUGUCAGUGCCGCGCGGGAGGCGGCGGUGCCCGGAUGCAGCAGCGCAGCGCGCCCGACCCUAAGAUGGCGGCUCCGAGCAAGCAAUAUGGGCUUAUUUUGCCCAAGAAAGCAUUGCAGAAAACUCUGAUGUUGAAGAAACAUUCAGUCUUUGCAGAUGACUCUGAUGAGGAGGUAUUUUUGAAAUACAAAUCAGUGCUGUAAUAGCCUUAUCCAACUUCAUUUGAAGUCCUAUCCGGAUCUUAAUGAAAACAGUGCAAAAUUAGCACUGUUGUGUAUGCAGAUUCUCAUUUAUCUUAACACAAUAGGUAAGAAACAGAGUUGUACAUCUGAGAGUUGUCUGGUUAUGCCAUACUCAUUUGAAGUUACUCUGUAUAGUUUGAAAAGGAGCAUAAUUUAUCGCAGGUUUGUCACUUGUGAGUUAUGAGUCUAUACUCUGAAAAACACAGGUAAAAUUACACUAUGUCCCUAUGUUUGUAGCUCUGUCUGACAUGUUCUUCUAUUCCUGUGUAUAAAGGGAAAUAUUCCAUAGAUUUCUUUGGUGGCUGGGUGAGCAAGUUGAACAUAUUAUACAUGUGGACAAAAUAAAAGAUGAAAUGUUAUUGUAAGUCUCAGGAACAGAAUGAAGUAAGUGCACUGGUCAAGAUGUCUUUAUAAACAGAUUGGAUUAAACACAAGAAUGAAUUAUUGUUUUUAAAAUUUUACAAACAAAGGUCCCAAUCCUACAAAUCCUUACCCACACAGUUAAGUUUAUUUACGUGAAUAGUCUGAUUUAAUUUAGUGGUGCUACUUGUGAGAGUAAAGUUAAGGACAUGUUUGCAGGAUCUGGGCCAAACCUCUCAAAGGUUCCUUGACAGCUUAUUUUUGUUAAGCAUUCAUAAAAAUUGAGUUCAUAAUUGGCAUGGAGCAUAAUUAGGAAGUGAAAUGAUCUUCUAGAAAUCUAAACUUUGUAGAGUUUAAAUAAUUCCUGCUUUGUCAUUAAUUGAUUGGGAUAUGGAAGAACAACAUGUACUUUUUGUAUUUCUUUUCCUUGAUGAUGCAGUUUAAUUUCUGGAUGAUGACUUCCGUG